rnacentral:lncRNA from 11 species
GGAAUCUACCAUGUAUGAUGGGAGAGACUAAAUUCUCCAUUUUAAACAACACAGAAAGAUUACAACGCAGCAGCUCCGCGGGAAUGGAAAUAGUGUCCCACGUUGUCUGUCCCUUCUAACAGCAGGAAAAAGCUGCUGAGCCACAAAGGAGUCAGUCUGGCUGCUUUCGGCUGAGCCGCUCUCUGGGGCAGAUAAGUAAACAGCCGGGCAGCUCUCUGACAUAAAUUACUGGAGUCCUUGACAGCGGGGACAUUGACCAGGGUCGCCUGAUAAGGGGCGGGGGUGGGGGGUGGCUGAGACUUGCUUCUCCGCCUUUCCUAUUUGCCUGCUUCACAAGAACUGUCACUGAGGGGAAAAAGAAUAGACACUUCGUAGGCAACCGUCCAGGCCCCUGGGUGUUCCCAUCACCUUCAAGAGAGA